GUAGAAUAGAGAAGACUAGAUUGGGAGUUCGGAGAUAAAGCUUGUGGCCUCUGAUUGUCAACUCAGUUACGUAACCUUGAGAAAUGUGAACCUCUGGAGUAGCAGCUCUCCGAGUCAACAGAAGGGUUCUGUGCAUGUUUCUUGACUCUGUUGAGAAGGUUUCCUAAGAGCUGGGACAUUUUUUGGUCACUACUGUGUUCUCACAGUAUCUCACACAUAACAGAAAUUCAGAUGACAGUAAGAAAAAUCUCCAACAGAAAAAAAAAAAAGAAGAAGAAGAAGAAAGAGAAAAAAGGAGAAGGAAAAGAAAGGGUAAGAAGAAGAAUGAGUUGAAACUCUAAAUACUGAACCUUGAAUGGUAAGCAAAUGGGUUACCUGGGAUUACCUGGCAGUUGAAACUGGGAGGUAGAGACCCAGCCCUGCAGAAGUAGAACCUGAGCCUUUCAUAUUAAGCCCAGGCCCUCGAAGUGGACUGAAGUGGUCACAAGUCAUUACUAACCCUGCCCCCAGGUAGAAGAUAAAAUUUAUCUUGGGAGGAAUGCAUUCCCAUUUUGGCACCUGAAGAUUACUCCACCCCCCUCCCCCAC